ACAGACGGUUGGCAGAGGAAGAAAGCCUUGUCACACUAAAGGAGAGACAGCGGAUGUUCUGAACAGUCCUGUCGUGAAACGUUAGACAACGUGGACGAAACAGGCACAUUCCUAAGCAUCACACAUUACUGAAACUCAGUCAAGAAGAAAUAGAAAAUCUGAAUACAUCCAUGGCAAGCACAGAAACUGAACUAGGGGAUUCGAAAUCUUCCCACAAAGAAAAGCCUAGGCCCAACUGGCCUCUAUGAUACAGCAAGAAGGUGCCAUCUAUGAAGGAGAAGACAAGCCCUCACCAGACACCAAAUCUGCUGAUGCUUUGAUCUUGGACUUCCCAGCCUCCAGAACUGCUCACACCCCUUUAUUAACUGAAGCUGACUUAACCCGAACUAUCUGAAGCUGACUCAACCCGAACUAUCCGAGAUCACACGUAAAUGUUUUCCUUCUGAUCUCAACUUUUCUCCUUAUCGUGGGGCAUGGAAAGGAGGAGAUCGCAGCAGGGAAGUUUUUGUUCUUGUUCACAUGCUAACAAUGACUAUCGAUUUACAGCAAUGGAUUGGUCAAGGAAGGAUAAAGAAACUUGGAAAGAACUAUCAUGAUACCUGCCCUGAGAAGCCAAAAUUUGGUUUAACUUUGUGUUGUUUACUGUUUGGUUCUAUAAAAGCUAAGUUUAUAAAAUAUUGUAUGACAGGUGAAUUUAAAUGUUACUAACCAUCUUGGAUGUCCUGCUCUUCUGCUGUACAGCAAUAAAGUCUCUCUAAAUGCA
rnacentral:lncRNA from 1 species